AUUCUCCUGCUUCAGCCUCCCGAGUAGCUGGGACUAUAGGCCCGGCCACCACAACCAGCUAAUUUUUUUUUUUUUUUUUUUUUUUUUUUUAGUAGAGACGGGGUUUCACCAUGUUAGUCAGGAUGGUCUCUAUCUCCUGACCUCGCGAUCCGCCCGCUUCGGCCUCCCAAAGUGCUGGGAUUACAGGUGUGAGCCACUGUGCCCGGCUGAAAGCCUGAUAUAUCUUUCUACCAUAGCAAGAACUAGCAGCACCUUACCCAGUAUGAGACCGACCCAGGUCUGCCUUAAUAUAUAUACCGUAAUAUAUACCUAACAGUUUUUUUUUUUUUUUUGAGAGGGAGUCUCGCUCUGUCGCCCAGGCUGGAGUGCAGUAUCGCGAUAUCGGUUCGCUGCAAGCUCCGCCUCCCGGGGUCACGUCAUUCUCCUGCCUCAGCUUCCGGAGCAGCUGGGACUGCUGGCGCCCGCCACUACGCUCGGCUAAUUUUUUUGUGUUUUUAGUAGAGACGGGCUUUCACCGUGUUGGCCUAGCGGUUCUCCAACUCCUGACCUCAUGAUCCCCCCGCCUCAGCCUCCCAAAGUGCUGGGAUUACAAGCGUGAGCCACCGCGACCCGCCAACACUCUUGACAACAGUGCUGUGCUAAGAACUUGGGGGACUUCAAAAAGUUCACCAGUUCCUGUGUCCAUGGGUGAAAAGAUUUUCUACAUCUUUCCUUGACUAGAAACAGAAGUCCUGAAACAAGGUACACCUUCUUGAGGCUUACUUGAAUAUAACGUCAGGAGGCCAGAGGCUUUGUCCUGCCUAAUGUGUUAUUUCCACACUGAAUAAAAGCACCUGAGUCCUGCAUUUUAAAAAGGUUGUACAUCUAGCAAUACCUAACAAAAUAGGAAAUCAACUUGGAAAGCCAAUGGCUGUGUUUUGAGUUUAUGGAGAGCCAUAUGUGGCAAGGAACUGAGGGUGGCAUCCAGGCAACAGACUUCAAGAAACUGAGGCUGUCAGUCCAACAACCCACAAGAACUGAAUCUGACCAACAAUCACAGGAACAAACUUAGAAGUAUACUCUUUCCCAGACAAACCUUCAGAUGAGACCACAGCCCCAGCCAUAAGCUUGAAAACAAUCUCAUGAGGGACCUUGAGCCACAGGCAUGUAGUAAAGCUAUGCCAGGAAUCCUGCCUGCCCCACAGAAAAUGUAAAAAAAAUAAAUUUUUAUUGUUUUAAGCCACGAAGUUUUGAAGUAAUUUGAUAUAAAAC
rnacentral:lncRNA from 10 species